CGCACGGGAGACCUCAGGCCCAGACUCCACUCCCCAGCUGUGAAAGGACUGCUGGCCAGACCCCCAAGCUAGCCCGCCAGGCCUCCAUAGAGCUGCCCAGCAUGGCUGCGUCCAGUACCAAGAGUUGGUGGGAGACGGGUGAAGUACAGGCUCAGUCUGCGGCCAAGACUCCAUCCUGCAAGACUCUUUGGCAGUUGCACUGGGUACUGGCUGAGUUCUGGAAAACAGGAAUGUGAGCAGAGUGCUGCAGAUCUCCUUGUCAGGAGCACCUAAGAACUGGCAUGACUCUACACCCUCUCUCCUUCUGCAAUGACCUCGUGUCAAGAUGGCAGACCUGCAGAGAUGAAUGUGCCUGGAUACCUGAGUCACCAGGUGGAGGAAACUCCCAUUGACAUGCAUCACACUCCACAUAUGAAACCCUUCUUUUUCUGCACUGUCACUGGGGUUAGGGAUUAUUACUCACUGCAACUUAGCCUAGCAUUAAGUUGCUUGACUAAUACAAGUUUCAAUAAAUGUCGCUUCAUUUCCCAUGGCUUCUGACUGAAUGCUGUGCAAUAUCCACAAACCAUCCAGAUUGUGGUUUAUAAAUACCACCCUUCACUAAAAGGACUCAGAGCUCCUUGUAGAAAUGGCUGAUGCUAAGGCUGGGGUAGGGAAGUACAAGGUGAGCCCAGAGUGCUGUGUGGUGCCAGAAAGCAAGGAAGCAUUUAAAAAAUGACAGGGACAUGUCAAAGGACACAUCAAUCAACUUCAAGGGGCUUCCAGUGGCCAAAU
rnacentral:lncRNA from 10 species